AUACGGAGGAUGCAAGCGUUAUCCGGAUUUAUUGGGUUUAAAGGGAGCGCAGGCGGAGAUGCAAGCGUGACGUCAAAUUUCGGGGCUCAACCCCGUCUCGCGUCGCGAACUGCGUCCCUUGGUUGCGGGAAGGGGAGGCGGAACUCGUGGUGUAGCGGGGAAAUGCAUAGAUAUCACGAAGAACUCCGAUCGCGAAGGCAGCCUUCCGGCCCGUCAACGACGCUCAUGCUCGAAGGUGCGGGUAUCAAACAGGAUUAGAUACCCUGGUAGUCCGCACAGUAAACGAUGGACACCCGCGGUUUGGCCUGUAUGGCUGAGCCGCCAAGCGAAAGCGUUAAGUGUCCCACCUGGGGAGUACGCCGGCAACGGUGAAACUCAAAUGAAUUGACGGGG
rnacentral:rRNA from 1 species